AUCUCGUUCUCUUAUUGGAAAGAAGUGCUGCUUGUCACAGCAAAGUGGCGGGUUCGAUUCCCGCACGAGAUA